rnacentral:rRNA from 1 species
CCUCCCCCCGUACUCAUUCCUCCCUUCGGCGGAGGGGUGAGUAACGCGUGAGAAUCUACCUAUAGGUUGGGGACAACAGUUAGAAACGGCUGAUAAUACCGAAUGUGUCGCAAGAUGAAAGAUUUAUCGCCUAAAGAUGAGCUCGCGUCUGAUUAGCUAGUUGGUGGGGUAAAGGCUCACCAAGGCGACGAUCAGUAGGUGGUCUGAGAGGAUGAUCAGCCACACUGGGAAUGAGACACGGCCCAGACUCCUACGGGAGGCAGCAGUGGGGAAUUUUCCGCAAUGGGCGAAAGCCUGACGGAGCAACGCCGCGUGAGGGAGGAAGGCUCUUGGGUUGUAAACCUCUUUUAUCAAGGAAGAUAAUGACGGUACUUGAUGAAUCAGCAUCGGCUAACUCCGUGCCAGCAGCCGCGGUAAUACGGAGGAUGCAAGCGUUAUCCGGAAUAAUUGGGCGUAAAGCGUUCGUAGGUGGUUAUGUAAGUCUGCUGUUAAAGCCCGCAGCUCAACUACAUAUCGGCGGUGGAAACUACAUGACUAGAGUGCGUUCGGGGCAGAGGGAAUUCCUGGUGUAGCGGCGAA